rnacentral:tRNA from 1 species
GCGCCGAUGGUGUAGUGGCGUGGAGCAUUCCCUCUCAGUCAGCGGAAGGUGCGGGUUCGAGUCCCGCUUGGCGCU